CAGUUGCUGUGUCCUGCCACAACACUACAUUUCUCAUGUUCCUCUUCAGAAUUGUUCAAAUGUUUUCAAAGUCUAACUUUUAUGCCAGCCAAAAAGUAUCUUUUCUUUCAUCUUAUAUCAGACUAAGAAGUAAGCCUUUUUAAUUCUUGUUUUUCAAGAUGGAUUCCUGGUGGGUGAGAUGAGACCAAAUGAGAAGUGGGACACAGGCUCCUGUCUUCUCAGCACCGCCCUUCCUCGCUGCUGUAUGGAGUCCUCAGAAGGAGGAAACUAGAAGUGACUUUGGGAAGAAGGCAAAGAACAAGUAGAUGGUUGUACUGCUCAGGCACUCGGCCUGAACCCAGGCAGUUCAUCCAGUCAUCAACAGCCUUGAAAAUGAGUGAUCCCAGAUCUUGCUUCUGCAAAACUGGAGUAGCAAGACUUGCUACCACUGCCAG